rnacentral:hammerhead_ribozyme from 1 species
CUACAUUGAUGAGACCCAAUCAGGUCGAAACAGCUGUCCAGUAG